AGCUUUGUGCAGUGGCAGUUUCAUAGCCAAUGAGGUUUAUCCAAGGCUCAAUUAUUGCUAAUUGAAAGCUUUUCCCAAUAAUGUAUCCUUUCAAAUUGUGUGACUAUUUAAUAUUA
ensembl:snRNA U4 U4 spliceosomal RNA